GAUGAACGCUGGCGGCGUGCCUAAUACAUGCAAGUCGAGCGAACAGACGAGGAGCUUGCUCCUCUGACGUUAGCGGCGGACGGGUGAGUAACACGUGGAUAACCUACCUAUAAGACUGGGAUAACUUUGGGAAACCGGAGCUAAUACCGGAUAAUAUAUUGAACCGCAUGGUUCAAUAGUGAAAGACGGUUUUGCUGUCACUUAUAGAUGGAUCCGCGCCGCAUUAGCUAGUUGGUAAGGUAACGGCUUACCAAGGCGACGAUGCGUAGCCGACCUGAGAGGGUGAUCGGCCACACUGGAACUGAGACACGGUCCAGACUCCUACGGGAGGCAGCAGUAGGGAAUCUUCCGCAAUGGGCGAAAGCCUGACGGAGCAACGCCGCGUGAGUGAUGAAGGUCUUCGGAUCGUAAAACUCUGUUAUUAGGGAAGAACAAAUGUGUAAGUAACUAUGCACGCCUUGACGGUACCUAAGCAGAAAGCCACGGCUAACUACGU
rnacentral:rRNA from 1 species